rnacentral:rRNA from 1 species
AUACGUAGGUGGCAAGCGUUAUCCGGAUUUACUGGGUGUAAAGGGCGUGUAGGCGGGAAAGCAAGUCAGAUGUGAAAACUAUGGGCUCAACCCAUAGCCUGCAUUUGAAACUGUUUUUCUUGAGUACUGGAGAGGCAGAUGGAAUUCCUAGUGUAGCGGUGAAAUGCGUAGAUAUUAGGAGGAACACCAGUGGCGAAGGCGAUCUGCUGGACAGCAACUGACGCUGAGGCGCGAAAGCGUGGGGAGC